rnacentral:rRNA from 1 species
AAAUUGAAGAGUUUGAUCAUGGCUCAGAUUGAACGCUGGCGGCAGGCCUAACACAUGCAAGUCGAACGGUAACAGGAAGCAGCUUGCUGCUUUGCUGACGAGUGGCGGACGGGUGAGUAAUGUCUGGGAAACUGCCUGAUGGAGGGGAUGGAGGGG